UACGUAGGGCGCAAGCGUUGUCCGGAAUUAUUGGGCGUAAAGAGCUCGUAGGCGGCUUGUCACGUCGAUUGUGAAAGCCCGAGGCUUAACCUCGGGUCUGCAGUCGAUACGGGCUAGCUAGAGUGUGGUAGGGGAGAUCGGAAUUCCUGGUGUAGCGGUGAAAUGCGCAGAUAUCAUGAGGAACACCAGCGGCGAAGGCGGCGCUCUGGGCCGGUACUGACACUGAGGAGCGAAAGCGUGGGGAGCAAACAGG
rnacentral:rRNA from 1 species